rnacentral:misc_RNA from 1 species
UUCACCGCCCAAGUGAUCGUCCUGAAUCAUCCGGGGCAAAUAAGUAACGGGUACACGCCCGUACUCGAUUGUCACACCGCGCACAUCGCUUGCAAAUUUGCCGAGAUCAAAGCGAAGUGCGAUCGUCGUACGGGAAAAACGAACGAGGAAAAUCCGAAGAGCAUCAAAAGCGGGGACGCUGCCAUCGUGAUGUUACAGCCGAGUAAGCCGAUGUGCGUGGAAGCUUUUCAAGAAUUUCCGCCACUCGGACGUUUCGCUGUACGCGACAUGCGUCAAACCGUUGCCGUCGGGGUGAUCAAGAGCGUCAACUUCAAGGAUACCCAAGGGAAGGUAACAAAGGCCGCGGAGAAGGCCCAGAAGAAAAAGUAACCAUCAAAUUUCCUCGGAAGGUCGCUGCGGUUAGUUGGCUGGUGUCCUUCGAGAGUGCCGAGGCGACCGUACUGCAGGGCUCAAUUUUUAACGACGACUCCAUUAAACCCAUACUCGUAUAAUACAAAAUUUGGAAAAAUGUGCUUAUACAUACCCCCGUUACAUUACCCGGUAGUAUUGAACCCACGUAUUUAUCCCAACUUACAUAUUCAGUUCACCCACGCCCCGCGCACACCCCACAUAUGCUAGGAUAUCUUACGCGACGAAUUGUUUCUCAUUAAAUUCGUAUGUACUGAAUUCGUGAAUACUCAGUUAUCGAACUCCGUAGUUAGGUUCUUAAACCAUAUAUAUAAUUGGGAUCUGUUUAUUUGUACAACAUUCGUAACGAAGCAACCGCGUCAUAUUAAUAGGUUGCAAAAAUCGUUUUUUUAACAUUCUCGUUUCGAUUAUUAUUUUCAUUAUCAUGUACGACCCAAUGACAUCAAGUUGAAUUUUAAAUCGUGAAAAACCGCGCUCUCGCAUACCGUAGAGUUUCAACAUUGAUCGUGGAUAUUAUGAACAGCAAUUAAAUAUCGAAUGAUGAGGAGAAAAAAAAAGAAAAGAAUAAUAAUCGCGACCAUCCCGGAUCCCCUAUUAAUUAAUAUGUAAUACCGAUCACGUAUUCUGCGGUAAAUUUGUUAAGGCUGACUCGUUUGAUAAGUUGGUUGCGUAGCAGCUAUUAACAUUAUUACAAUUAUUUUGAGAUAUUUAUCCAACGUUAUAUUGUAGACCUAUUUAGAUCACCCCCGAUAUUUUGAUAACUUUUUUCAAUCUAGAAACUCAAUCCCUCCCUAAUUCUACGAAAGGUCUUCAGAGCAUCCCCCUAAUCCAUGGUGCUCGGCACUUCCAUUGCCGAUCGAUUGUUUUUAUCCUUGAAUAAAUAUUUAGUUGG